UUCCGGUUUGAUCCUGCCGGAGGUCACUGCUAUUGGAGUCCGACUAAGCCAUGCGAGUGCUUUGGGUAUCCUCUUCUGAGGAGACCUGAAGUGCGAACUGCUCAGUAACACAUAGUCAAUCUGCCCUUAGGUUCACCAUAAUCUCAGGAAACUGAGGAUAAAGGGGGAUAGGAUAGGUGUUCUGGAAAGAGCCUAUCUGAAUCUUACCUAAGGAUGAGACUAUGUCUGAUUAGGUUGUUGUUGGGGUAACGGCCCAACAAGCCGAUAAUCAGUACGGGCCAUGAGAGUGGGAGCCCGGAGAUGAACUCUGAGACAUGAGUUCAGGCCCUACGGGGCGCAGCAGGCGCGAAACCUUUACAAUGCACGCAAGUGUGAUAGGGGGUCUCCAAGUGCUUUCUCUUAAACAGAGACAGCUUUUGCUGAGUGAAAAAAGCUCAGCGAAUAAGUGGUGGGUAAUAAACUGCUGAGUCAAGGAAUUAAUAAUACACUUGGUUCACAGUUUACCAAACGGGUGGCAGCCGCCGCGGUAAUACCCGAGCCACAAGUGGUGACCACUUUUAUUGGGUUUAAAGCAUCCGUAGCCGGCCAGGUAAGUUUCUGGUUAAAUCCCUUGUUAACCAAGGAACUGCCAGAAAUACUAUCUUGCUUGAGACCGGGAGAGGCUGGAGGUACUCUUAGGGUAGGGGUGAAAUCCGUUGAUCCUAAGGGGACCACCAAUGGUGAAGGCAUCCAGCCAGAACGGCUCUGACGGUGAGGGAUGAAAGCUAGGGGAGCGAUCGGGAUUAGAUACCCCGGUAGUCCUAGCCGUAAACGAUGCCCGCUAGGUGUUGGCUGGUUUGUAGGAAUCAGUCAGUGCCGAAGGGAAACCAUUAAGCGGGCCACCUGGGGAGUACGGUCGCAAGGCCGAAACUUAAAGGAAUUGGCGGGGRAGCACAUAAGGGGUGAGGUGUGCSGWUUAAUUGGACUCAACACCGAGGRUCUUACCAGCGGAGACAGCAGGAUGAAGGUCAGGCUAAAGACCUUACCAGACAAGCUGAGAGGAGUUGCAUGGCCGUCGUCAGCUCGUGCUGUGAAGUGUCCGGUUAAGUCCGGCAACGAGCGAGACCCACACUGCUAGUUGCUAUCUUCAUAAGAAGCACUCUAACAGGACUGCCUGCGUAAGCAGGAGGAAAGUUUUACAGUUUGAUUAUUAUAUAGCAAGCUGUAAAGCCUUUAAGGAGUGGGCGACGGCAGGUCAGUAUAGCCCGAAUCCGCUGGGCUACACGCGCGCAACAAUGGCUAAAACAGAGGGUUGCAACGCCGAAAGGCGAAGCUAAUCCCUAAAUUUAGCCUCAGUUCAGAUCGAGGGCUGAAACUCGCCCUCGUGACGACGGAAUCCCUAGUAAUCGAACGUCAGCAUCGUUCGAUGAAUAUAUCCCUGCUCCUUGCACACACUGCCCGUCAAGCCAUCCGAGUAGAGUCUUGAGGAAGCUUGCUCCAUAUGGAGUAAUCAACCUUGGGCUUUGCGAGGAGGGCUAAGUCGUAACAAGGUAGC
rnacentral:rRNA from 1 species